rnacentral:rRNA from 1 species
GACGAACGCUGGCGGCGUGCCUAAUACAUGCAAGUAGAACGCACAGUUUAUACCGUAGCUUGCUACACCAUAGACUGUGAGUUGCGAACGGGUGAGUAACGCGUAGGUAACCUGCCUGGUAGCGGGGGAUAACUAUUGGAAACGAUAGCUAAUACCGCAUAAUAUUGAUUAUUGCAUGAUAAUUGAUUGAAAGAUGCUAUUGCAUCACUACCAGAUGGACCUGCGUUGUAUUAGCUAGUAGGUGAGGUAACGGCUCACCUAGGCGACGAUACAUAGCCGACCUGAGAGGGUGAUCGGCCACACUGGGACUGAGACACGGCCCAGACUCCUACGGGAGGCAGCAGUAGGGAAUCUUCGGCAAUGGACGAAAGUCUGACCGAGCAACGCCGCGGGAGUGAAGAAGGUUUUCGGAUCGUAAAGCUCUGUUGUAAGAGAAGAACGGGUGUGAGAGUGGAAAGUUCACACUGUGACGGUAUCUUACCAGAAAGGGACGGCUAACUACGUG